UGGGGAAUUUUGGACAAUGGGCGCAAGCCUGAUCCAGCCAUGCCGCGUGCAGGAUGAAGGCCCUCGGGUUGUAAACUGCUUUUGUACGGAACGAAAAGCCUCUUUCUAAUAAAGAGGGGUGAUGACGGUACCGUAGGAAUAAGCACCGGCUAACUACGUGCCAGCAGCCGCGGUAAUACGUAGGGUGCGAGCGUUAAUCGGAAUUACUGGGCGUAAAGCGUGCGCAGGCGGUCUUGCAAGACAGUGGUGAAAUCCCCGGGCUCAACCUGGGAACUGCCAUUGNGACUGCAAGGCUGGAGUACGGCAGAGGGGGAUGGAAUUCCGCGUGUAGCAGUGAAAUGCGUAGAUAUGCGGAGGAACACCGAUGGCGAAGGCAGUCCCCUGGGCCUGUACUGACGCUCAUGCACGAAAGCGUGGGGAGCAAACA
rnacentral:rRNA from 1 species